rnacentral:rRNA from 1 species
GAUGAACGCUGGCGGCGUGCCUAAUACAUGCAAGUCGAGCGGACAGACGAGGAGCUUGCUCCUCUGACGUUAGCGGCGGACGGGUGAGUAACACGUGGAUAACCUACCUAUAAGACUGGGAUAACUUCGGGAAACCGGAGCUAAUACCGGAUAAUAUAUUGAACCGCAUGGUUCAAUAGUGAAAGACGGUUUUGCUGUCACUUAUAGAUGGAUCCGCGCCGCAUUAGCUAGUUGGUAAGGUAACGGCUUACCAAGGCAACGAUGCGUAGCCGACCUGAGAGGGUGAUCGGCCACACUGGAACUGAGACACGGUCCAGACUCCUACGGGAGGCAGCAGUAGGGAAUCUUCCGCAAUGGGCGAAAGCCUGACGGAGCAACGCCGCGUGAGUGAUGAAGGUCUUCGGAUCGUAAAACUCUGUUAUUAGGGAAGAACAAAUGUGUAAGUAACUAUGUACGUCUUGACGGUACCUAAUCAGAAAGCCACGGCUAACUACGUG